GGGGGUGGUUGGGUCCCGGUGGGCUUCGCAGUCUUCAAAACUGUCUGGGUGUCGCUUAGAACGGCAUCGGUGGGUUCGACUCCCACGCACUCCCG
rnacentral:tRNA from 1 species